UACAGAGGGUGCAAGCGUUGUUCGGAAUUAUUGGGCGUAAAGGGCGCGUAGGCGGGUCGUUUAGUUAGAGGUGAAAGCCCAGGGCUCAACCCUGGAAUUGCCUUUAAUACUGGCGGCCUUGAGUAUGGCAGAGGUGUGUGGAACUCCGAGUGUAGAGGUGAAAUUCGUAGAUAUUCGGAAGAACACCGGUGGUCGAAGGGCGGGUCACUGGGCAUGCUCCUGGACGCUG
rnacentral:rRNA from 1 species